GCCAGCAGCCAUAUCACUCUGCAACUCACAACUGGCAACCCACUGAAACUAAGCAGGUGUGAGCCUGCUUAGUACCUGGAAGGGAGACCUCCUGGAAAAAACUAAGGUUGCUGCUGGAA
rnacentral:rRNA from 1 species